rnacentral:rRNA from 1 species
UACGUAGGGUGCAAGCGUUAAUCGGAAUUACUGGGCGUAAAGCGUGCGCAGGCGGUUGUGCAAGACAGAUGUGAAAUCCCCGGGCUUAACCUGGGAACUGCAUUUGUGACUGCACGGCUAGAGUGUGUCAGAGGGGGGUAGAAUUCCACGUGUAGCAGUGAAAUGCGUAGAUAUGUGGAGGAACACCGGUGGCGAAGGCGGCAUCCUGGACCAAUAUUGACGCUGAGGAGCGAAAGCCAGGGGAGCAAACGGG